AAUUCUAUUGUUGAAUUCAUUUCUUUUUUUAAUUUGUGUUAAUUAUACUAAUAGCUAAUUUUAAUUUGUAUUUUUUAAUUUUUUACUUUUAAUUAGUUUGUUCUUGAUUUAUUGAUUUCUAGCGUGGUUAGGGAAGUGGAUAUGAUUAUUAGUGGGUAGAAUUUUCACUCUCAAUUAGUUCUUCAAUUGAAGUAUUGAACUAGAUAUGAUUUGUGUUAAUUAAUUAUGCAGCACAUUGAUCUUUACGACUUUAUCAGUUUAUGAUAUGUAGAAUUAUAAAGAAUGUUCAUGAGUCAAAUUAAUGAAAUUGUGUCCAUCAUUCUAAUCUUCAUUCCUAUCACUAUGGAAACAGUGGAAUUGUAAAACAUUUUACUUAACAAAUAACAAGUACAACAUUCUGUCCAUUAUUUUACUCUUAAUUCCACUUAAAUAAUUUCAUUUAUUUGACAUUGUGGCUUUGUCUGGUUUGCAGUGCAAACACUUGUGUAGUAGAUAGUUAGGGGCCCAUUUUUUAAAUUUUGCUCCGAUCCCAAUAAUAUUCAAGAACAGUCGCUAUAUUUUGUCACCUGAAGAAAAAUUUGAUACUUGUGUCUCUAGAAUGGUUGUUUAUGUUUAGUUCGUUACAAUUUGCCAACUUCAUGCUUGAGGCUUGCGUAUAUCGUUAUUUUGGAAGAUGUUUAUUAUCAUGUUGAUUAUAUUGAGGAUUGUUGUUUGAUUCAAUUGAUCACCAGCUCAACAAACUCGGCCUGUAUCAUGCUAUUUUAAGAUGAAAGUAUGGUCAGUUUGUGUACCUUGGACAUUGAUCAAAAUGCAUAUGAGAUAAUAAAUAUGGUAUAGUAUCUCAUUAUAGCUUGAAAUAUGGCGAGGAUGAGUUCAUUCAAUUGUUUUGUAGCGAAUCGAGAUUCAUUCUAUUCCAAAAUUCGUUCUAUUCUCAUGGAUUUCACGGGUCUAGCUAUCCUUUCUCCGGUCCCUAGAUAUCACCUCUUAAACUCUAAUCAUAGUAAGUUUUCGAGGAAAACUUUUGAAUGAUUGCAAUUCGCUUUUAACAAUUCAAGUUCCUGAACAAGCUAGGGUUUAUCUAUGGUAGAGCACGCAAAGGCGGAUGAUGCAAUGGUGUUUCAAUUUCCAAUUUUGGGUAUGUUUGUUCCUGCGUUUUCACUUAUUCUAGACUAUCUUCUUGCUUGUUGAUAUUCAUUUGAUAGUAGAGUGAAUUUGGUAAAGCUCAAAGUUCUCACUAAUAUAUGGUCUUCUUUCUUUUUUCUUUGGGUCGAUUUUCUGAUUUAUGUAUCUCAGUUUUUUCCUAUUUUCAUGAUAAUUAACCUAAGGCAGAAUAAGCAUUUAGGGUUUCGGGACAAGGACGAUGGUUGUCGACGACCCAUUGUUGUUGGUAAAAGCUUCUGAGCAAGAUGUUCCUAUAUGUUGUUGUUGGAGUUUGCGAUCAUUUUUCAAUGUUUUAUUUUUUUUAUUGUAAUUCUCUUUUUGUUUUUUGCCAAUAAUAUCAGUUUGAUUGCCUUGCUUAGUGAACAUCUGUAAUAUAUGUGUUUCUUUUCUUUAAAAUAUAAAAGUGUAUUUAUUUAAUUUUGAUGAGAUAUUCUGUUAGAAAUCCUAAUCCUUUUCUUCUUUUUCUCUGAAAUAUUUGGGUUUAGUGAAUUCAGGGAAAAAUAGGAAGAAGUGAAGUUUUUCUCUCCGUGAGCUAUAUUUGGAAGAAGAAUCAAUAAUGGGUUUUAUUAUGAGUAUUUUUGGAUUUGGAUGUAGAUCUUCUCUCGUGGGCUUGUCUUUGCGUGCUACUUCACCUUCUUUCAGUCCACUAAUUUAUAGGGAUUGUAUAGUAGAAGGAAAAAAAAUCACUACUUUCAACCUUAGCUCGUAUUAUAGGAAAAAUAACAGAGUGUAUGCUGAAAAAUCAUCACUUGGCAAGAAAGUUUCUUUGGAUGUGGCUAGGUAAUUGCUCAUUGUAAUUUUCGAAUCUGUACCAGGAAAUAUUAUUAGUUCUGAAACUGGCAAGGAACAUACAAAUGGUCAUCACAGUGCUUUAGUUACCAGUGCUGAUAAAAUUGAUAAGCUUAGGUCAGAAAUUAUCUUAAUUUUGUAUGUACCACCAGACAAAAUUGCACUUCCAGCAAAUGGGCAUCCAUGAACUACAGUUGAAAUGAUGUGUGUUGUAUCUUGUGAUAAAAAAGGGCUUCUUAAGUUCAUUGUGUACUACUUCGGCACUCUUUAGCCAAGUCUUAGAACUGUGACUGUGAUCAACAAACAUGUACAUUGGAUGUAAUUUCUGAGUUUUGGGUGAUAUGAUGAAUUUGGCAUAAAAGCAAAAGGUUUGAGUUUGUCUCAUUCAGUUCUUAAAAUCAGAUAGUGCCUUUAUACAUUUGGAUCUAGAGGUCCUUAUUACUCUAGGGCUCAUAUUCUUUUCUUGGAGAUGAUGUAACAUUUCACCUAUUUUGAUAAAAGAAAAAGAAUGCGUUCUUUUUUUUUGUA